CGCCCGUCCUGCCGGGUUCAAAACCGAAAUCCGCUCUUAAAUUUCACAGGCUGCUGCUGCGUCUUUACGUCGAAGACGGUCCCUUCCCGCGCCCCCCCGCCCCGUGGUUUACCCGCUCCAGCAAAGCCCUGCGGCUCCCCGCGGUUACCCGCGGAGCGUGGCUGGGUGCCCGGCGCGGUGCGGUGUCCCUUGAGGGCGGGGGGCCCGGCAGUGCGGGCUGGGGCAUCGGCGGCAGGGCCGGCUUCGAAAAACAAAGCCAAACAGCCAGGCAGGGGGUUAUGUGCGCAGUGCUCUUGCUUCGUUUUUGUCGCACGGGGUGAUUCUGCUGUUCUGAACCUACUGUAAGUGCUUUGCUGUGGACUCUCUCUCUCUUUUUUUUUUUUUUUUUUUUUGGCCCUAGAGUAAAAUUUCGUAUUAAGAGACAUCUGGGUAUUAAACCAACUGGUUGCACGCGUUGAAGUGACGGUAUUUAAAAUGAAGUUCCUCUACAGACCUUAGCGACCAGCUGGAGUAGUUAAAGAAGACCUGAAGCAAUGCAGGGAGCACUAAAUGCUCCAUACAGUCAUUAAGUGACAAGUAUCGUUUGCAUGGCUUUUUUUUUUUUUUUUUUUUGGUGGUGGUGGAAUUAGGAUCAAUAAUCACCCUGUUAUAAUGCUGUGUAUCCACUGCUAAUUAUUGCUGUUUCUGUAGUUUUUCCAAGAUAUUAUCACUAGCUUCAUGUUGCUAAUUACAUAAAGUGAGUAUCAAAAUGCCAAAAGGGCAGUGCACAAGAGAGAACCAGUGUUAAUGCUGGAGAGUGCUGAGUACAAGAUAAAAUAGUGUGUGUGGGGGGGGGGGUGUUCAAGGCUAUAUAUUGAGUUCACCAGUGUCUGUAGGAAAAGCACUUGUCAGCAAAAUCAAAGAAAUAGGGAAACAAAUCCUAGUCUAUGAGUAUAUACAAAACCCAUAUAAAAUAGCCAAUUAAAAUAGUUUUAGAUAAUGAUAUUUAUCUGUGAAUAAUUUAGAAUUGUGGUUGUACCUUUGUGUCUUAAACCAUAGUUUUAAAUCCAGUAUGUUUAAAUCCAGACAAAGGAAGGCAGUAAACAUCCUUGGGGAAAGGAGGGUGAUACAAAUGAAAGGGGUUGUGCUUUUUGUGCCAUAACUCUCUUUUUGUACCAUAACUCUCUCACUUGGUACCAUAACUCUCUCACUUGGUACCAUAACUCUCAUUACGCUGUGUUUCUCUCUCUUUCCUUUCCCUCCCGCCCCUCACCGCCCUGAGAAGUCUGUAGGCCUUCUGCCUUUUCUGUCUCCAGAAAAGAAAACAAGGGGGAAGCUUACUUACCAGGUAGCUCACUUGCUGUUUGGACCCAGCAGAACUCAAACCAAGUGGCCGUUCCUUUUGGCAGAAAGGGUACAGAGAGAAAGCAGAGAAUAUAAAAUUAAUAUUUUGGGCAAAAUAAAAUGUCUGUUUCGCAUCAGAGAUAAAUGCACUGAUUGGCUACAAAAUCGCCAUUGAAUGGACAUAGUGCAAAGCUGAAGGCAUUUGCUUGUAUUUGAUACACCUCUUUUUCUGUCCAGGCAGAUGUGUUCAGUAGACAUAGAAAUCUUUACUGAAAUUGAUCAAAUCAGUAAGGAUUCCAUAUAUGACAUAGCAAAUACGCAAAACAAUAAACAGACUAAAGGGGUAAAUUGGCUUUCUGUGGGUUGAUUUGUCCAACUUAGCAAAAGAAAAAAGGUGAGGUCACUUAAUGGAAUGACUAGCUUGGGUGUUGCCAUCAACAAGGCAACUGAACAGGAAAUUUUCAAACUGGAUAAAAUACCACUAUGUGAAGAGCUUCUGUUUUGACUAGCUAGAAGUACCACUGUGGAACUAAGGCUUGUAAGUGUGAAGAAUGAUACCAGUGUAGUUAAAGUAGUUUGGAAAGUGAUGUAUCAGUGGAACUCUUGCAUUGGCACUCUUCUACCAAAAGAAGGUCUUUACUGUGAGGGAGUUGCAGAUAUUUACAGCAACCUCACCUCCACCCCAAAAGAAAUUCCUGCUGCAGCAGUUCAUGGUGUUAUUUGCCUCUUUGCUACCAAACUUCUGCUGGAUGUUACUUCCCCUGCAGCAGAAAUGGCAGAAAGAAACAUCUUUUAAUGCCUAAGCCAGUUCCUGGCAAAGUCUAGCUGCUUAGCUUAACUGGCCAAUGGAAGUGGACUUAUGCUAAAACAUUGCAUGAAGAUGAUUUCAUGCUUGGGUUUCUAUAUAAAUAAUAAUAAUAAUAAUAAUAAAAUUAUAUAUCCAGGGAAGCUGUAGAUGAGUGAACUUAAGACUUGCCUUAGGAAAAUGGGUAGCAUUUCUGAUUCUGCUGACUGCUGUUUCAAGUGUUUGAGUUCACAGAAAAAAGAAAAGAGGAAAACCAUACUUAUUUGUUUGAACUUUAAUGCAAGCUCCCAAAGAUGAAAAGGUGGUGAAGGCAAGAUAGUUCAGAUUUACAGUGAGGUAAGUUUAUUGAGAUCACCAUACGAUGGGGAGAUAAGACUGACCUCUAUCAGUAUACCUGUAGUAAAGUGGAAGUGUCUUGUCAUUUACAUCAAGAUAGUUCAUAUGUCUUAGCUACCCAGGACAGAAAAAGGAGACUUUUUUUUUUUGGAAGCACUGAAGAAAAACCCUUGAAUGAUGAAGUAAAACACAGAUCGGAAACAGUGGAAACUGUCAGUUUUGCAGGUAAAAUCUGCAAAAGUCUUCUCAUGCUCUAUGCCUUGUACAUUGGAAAGAGUAUGCUUUUUUUCUUAAAGUAAAUGUAUCCUAGAGUGAAGAUACUUUUACCUACUCAGCUAUCUAUAGAUCUGCAAUGUGUAAUAUGAUGAGUUUGACAGACUCCAUUAAAAGGGAUCACGACCUGAUAUAAUUCGCAACAAUGCAAUUUAGUAGUAUACAGCUGGUUAUAAUUUUUCUUCCUCCCAUGGAAAACGUAAUAGUUUUAAUGUAAAAUUUCUAUUCUAAAAUGACACUCAUGAAUGUGCCUGGUAUUUCUGACCUUUUCUUUGGAAUACCUUUCCCUCAGUCAUCUUUUUUUUCUAAAGACAGACACAUCUGGCUUUCUUCAUAGGUUUAAAAAAUACAGCCUCUUCCAAAGGAGUUGAUCUGCUGUAAACUCUCAAGGUGUGUUUAUAUGACUGUGAUGUCCAAAAAAUAAUAUUCAGCCGAGGUCUUCCCAGUGCUGAAUUAUCUCUUUUGUCUAAAGUGCCUUUAAGAAUGCUUUCCAAAACAAAGAGGUGAAUGUAUAUGUCUAUGAAGAGGAGACUGAGGAGGAAAGGUUCUGUUCCAAUUUGCGGUAUGAAAGUGGGUAACAGAGGGAAUCUAUUCAGGCAACAAAUACCACAGCCUUUGGAAAGGGUGACUUGCACUUGAGUUCUCCAUAAGUCACAGUUACAUACCACUUGGCUUCCUAAUGCGAGGAAAUCUUACGACUGUUUUGUUUAUCAAGGGCAGUGGUCACAAAGACCACCCAAAGACCAUUGCAAAAAAACUGGAUGCUCAGAGCAGUAGAAUUUGCCAUAGCUUGCACUUCUUUUCUCCAUGUGUUUUCUCCUCCUUCAAUCCAAUUUUUGUGAAUUCUGUUCCUGUGUGGUUUUGCUUACAAGUACUUAAUUUUUUGCUUUGCAGCUUCUCUGUUUGUACAUUGCCUGCUUUUUUCAUUUGCAUUAUGCUUUCUUCUGAUUUUUUUGCUCAUGAGCACGGUUACACAACAAGAGUUGUUCCUUUAUCAGUGCUGUUGAUAUCAGCAUUAUGCAUAGUGGUAUGAGGUAGAAUUGCACUGACUAAUAAGCAGCAUUCAUUUCAAUAAGCUACUGCUUGCCAUUUAUUUGAGUCAGCUAUCAAUACCAUUUCCACUUUUUGGGAUACAGACUAGGUUUUCUCCAGAUACCAGUACGCUUAAGACAACAGAAUUAAAAUAAGAUAGGAUUUGGCCUAAGCUAAAGAAUGUUUAGCUGUGUUGUUAUUAGGUGGUAUGGAUUUCUUGGAAAGUUCAUUAAAUAUCUUCUCAAACUACAUUCAACCACUAACAUGACUUAUAUUUUUGCUAAAUGUGCAUUUUAUCUCAUACUUACUUCAUAGCACCAAAGAUGGGACAUCUUUGUCCUGGCAGACUGCAAAAAAAUUAUUACCACAGGCAAAAACAACUCUGAAUUUCACUGUCUGAAGAGAAAAUGCAGAGUUUUUUUUGUUUUUUUUUUUUUGCUUCUGUCCCACCCCUAUUUUCACUUAUUAUUAUGGGAUGCUCUCAUAUGCUUCAUGUGUACUCAGGAGUGAGAUUAUGAAGUGGUAAAACCACAAGCAAGUCUCUGGUUACAUCAGUAUAAUUCCAGUCUCUUUCUUGGAUUAUUGCAUUUCUAGGAUAUAUUUGCAUUUUUCCAAUCAUGGCGUCUUUUUAUUUAUUUGUUUAUUUUGCCUGAUGCAAUAGAAGAUACCAAACAAAAUGUAAGAUUUAGUAGAUAAGACUUAUCAGUAUGUUCUAAGUCAAUCAAAUAAAAAACCUAUUUUACA